ensembl:lncRNA
GUUGUUUUUCUUAAGCUUGGUUGGUUUUGCAUUCUCUAUGCUACUUACCACUGUUUUUAUUAGUAUUAAUUUUGUCUCCUGGUUAAAGUGAUCAGUUUGAAUAACAAUUUAUGCCAGGUGAGGGAAAAUAAAUGAACUUUCGAAAAUGAGAGGUAACUCACUGCAAAAUUGGUUGGGCUGGUGAAUAAUUUGAUUUAUUUACAUGUGAAGUUGCAGACUUUAUGAUGCCUAAUGGUAUGAAGCCUCAGUGAUUUUCCAACUAUGUAUAUAGGCAGUCCCCUCAUUCAGAAUGGGUUAUGUUCUGAAAGUUCAUUUGUAAGUCACUUGCGUGGAACUCAGAAUGCAUUUUCUUCCAGCAACAAUAUUAUAAUGGUGAUUAAGACCCCAGGCUAACCUCUCCCAAUGUUUUUGCAACAUUGUUUUACAGUUUCACAAAAAUCCUGUAAAAAUUGUGGGUGUUUUCAUACUAAUAAUCAAAUAACACAGGAAAAUAACAAAAUUGAAAAGGAUGGUUUUUGAAAUAUUGGUGCUUGAGGAAAACAGGUUUAAUUAGAGGAGGACGAGGAUGUGGGUGGAGACUGUUGUGGAAAUUCUGAAGGAGACUCCUGGGUACACUCAAGGGCUCUUGCAGUGUAUGGCACUGGCUUGUGAUUGUGUCUAAUUUCACUUCACAAUUUGAGACUCUCCUUCGCUCUAUAUUACAGGUAUAUCAUGAAUGCUUAUGAACCAUAAUUGAUGUCAUUGUUUCUCUGUGUGUUCACAAAUGGAAGGAAUUGGGACAUGGAUGAAGCUGGAAGCCAUAAUGCUCAGCAAACUAACACAGGAACAGAAAACCAAACUCUGCAUCUUCUCACUCGUAAGUUGGAGUUGAACAACGAGAACACAUGGACACAGGGAGGGGAACAUCACACACCGAAGCCUGUCAGAGGGUGGGGGACUAGGGGAGGGAUAGCAUUAGGAGAAAUACCUAAUGUAGAUGACAGGUUGGUGGGUGCAGCAAACCAUCAUAGCACAUGUAUACUUAUGUAACAAACCUGCACAUUCUGCACAUGUAUCCCAGAACUUGAAGUAUGAUAAAAAAAAAUUAAUAAAUGGAAGAAUGUGAAGAGAAGGUAUUCUGAAGUGUUCCAUUAAUAGGACUCUUAAAGAUAAUCAAAAUUUAAAUGAGCAGAGAAAAAAUUGCAUGUUGUUUUUGACAUUUUAUCAAAUGGCCAGAGCAGACCUACCUUCUGUGUCAUUUUUCAAAAUAUACAGAAUAUCUAAAGAUGAAAUAAAAAAAUUUCUAAAGUAAAAAAAGAUGUAUAAGUUUGCAAUCACUUUUUUAAAAUUUGACGACAAUCUCAAAGAUAUUUGCAGAAAGAAACAAAAAGGCAGAGACAGAAAUUGUAGAAAGGGAGGUUUGAGAAUAUAGCCAUGCCGUUAACAACUAUUCAGGACUGGAGCCAGAGGAUAGAAGGCUGUAGGGGGAAGGUUUGUGGAAAAAGAAGGAGUCAAUAAAUUACAUGGUAUUAUUAAAAACUGGAAAAAACACAUGACUCAAAAAAAAGAAAAAUUUAAAUUUUAUUUUAUUGUGAUAAGGACACAAUCUUAUGUCUGGGCGCCACCAUGCCCAGAUAAUUUUUAAAAAUAAUUGUUGUAGAGACAAGGUCUUGCUAUGUUGCCCAGGCUAGUCUUGAAUUCCUGGCCUCAAGUGAUUCCUGCUCCUUGGUCUCCUAAAGUGCUGGGAUUAUAGGCAUGAACCACCCUGCCCAAUCUAGAAACAUUUUUUGAGCCAUCCAGAGUCAUGACAUUGGACCAAGAGGGAAAAAAAAAAUAUUCCCCGCCCACUAAUUGACUCAGCAGUGAAAAAUUUUUACUUAGACAUAAUAAUGUAAUUCUUUAUAUUGUUUUUCAACUUGUAAAUUCAAUGCCAGAGUUAGGAAGACUGCUUUUGCUUGUAGAACAAAUGUAAAUGUUAACAAUAAUAACGCGGAAAAAUUCAAGUGUAACAGACAGGAGGUAGGAUAUAUGAAAGCUGGCAGAAAGUAGAGGAAGAGGUAGAAGAGCUAACAUAUUUUAAAAAGUCGGGAACAAAGUGAUAUUAUUGAAAAUGACCAUCUCAGAUUUCAAACCAAGGCAAUAUAAGGUCAUGUUUCAAAAUAUCCUCUUGUAUUCAAGCAAUAUAGCAAUUCUUGACAACAUGAUCUUUUCACUCAAACCUCUCUGAGCAAAUCUGAUCUCCAUGAACUUCACAGUGGUAACAGUGAUGUAAUCAUCAAGUUGCUACAAUCACUUCUAUACCAAACUGUGGCAGGCAGGAUAAUGUACCUCCCCAAAAAAGAUGUCUGUUGUUUUAAAAUGCUAAGCUUGUGAUACUUUGUUAUAGCAGCAAUAGGGAACUAAUUCACAAGUCAAUUUACACAGC